rnacentral:rRNA from 1 species
UACGGGGGAUGCAAGCGUUAUCCGGAAUCACUGGGCGUAAAGCGUCUGUAGGUGGUGAUGCCAGUCACUGGUGCAAAACUCUGGCUCAACCGGAGGAAAGCCAGUGAAACUGCAUGACUAGAGUGUGGGAGAGGUAGAAGGAAUUCCCCGAGUAGCGGUGAAAUGCGUAGAUACAGGGAAGAACACCGGAGGCGAAAGCGUUCUACUGGAACACAACUGACACUGAGAGACGAAAGCUAGGGGAGCGAAUGGG